GCGGCUGUCGUCAAGCGGUUAAGACAAAGGACUGUGACUCCUUCACACGUGGGUUCGAUUCCCAUCAGCCGCCCCA
rnacentral:tRNA from 2 species